GACGAACGCUGGCGGCGUGCUUAACACAUGCAAGUCGAACGGUAAGGCUCCAGCUUGCUGGGGUACACGAGUGGCGAACGGGUGAGUAACACGUGGGUGACCUGCCCUGCACUUCGGGAUAAGCCUGGGAAACUGGGUCUAAUACCGGAUAGGACCGCACCGUGAGGGUGUGGUGGAAAGUUUUUUCGGUGUGGGAUGGGCCCGCGGCCUAUCAGCUUGUUGGUGGGGUAAUGGCCUACCAAGGCGGCGACGGGUAGCCGGCCUGAGAGGGUGGACGGCCACAUUGGGACUGAGACACGGCCCAGACUCCUACGGGAGGCAGCAGUGGGGAAUAUUGCACAAUGGGCGGAAGCCUGAUGCAGCGACGCCGCGUGGGGGAUGACGGCCUUCGGGUUGUAAACUCCUUUCACCAUCGACGAAGGGUUUCUGACGGUAGAUGGAGAAGAAGCACCGGCUAACUACGUGCCAGCAGCCGCGGUAAUACGUAGGGUGCGAGCGUUGUCCGGAAUUACUGGGCGUAAAGAGCUCGUAGUGGUUUGUCGCGUCGUCUGUGAAAUUCCGGGGCUUAACUCCGGGCGUGCAGGCGAUACGGGCAUAACUUGAGUACUGUAGGGGAGACUGGAAUUCCUGGUGUAGCGGUGAAAUGCGCAGAUAUCAGGAGGAACACCGGUGGCGAAGGCGGGUCUCUGGGCAGUAACUGACGCUGAGGAGCGAAAGCAUGGGGAGCGAACAGGAUUAGAUACCCUGGUAGUCCAUGCCGUAAACGGUGGGCGCUAGGUGUGGGUUUCCUUCCACGGGAUCCGUGCCGUAGCUAACGCAUUAAGCGCCCCGCCUGGGGAGUACGGCCGCAAGGCUAAAACUCAAAGGAAUUGACGGGGGCCCGCACAAGCGGCGGAGCAUGUGGAUUAAUUCGAUGCAACGCGAAGAACCUUACCUGGGCUUGACAUAUACAGGAUCGCGCCAGAGAUGGUGUUUCCCUUGUGGCUUGUAUACAGGUGGUGCAUGGUUGUCGUCAGCUCGUGUCGUGAGAUGUUGGGUUAAGUCCCGCAACGAGCGCAACCCUUGUCUUAUGUUGCCAGCACGUUGUGGUGGGGACUCGUAAGAAACUGCCGGGGUUAACUCGGAGGAAGGUGGGGAUGACGUCAAAUCAUCAUGCCCCUUAUGUCCAGGGCUUCACACAUGCUACAAUGGUCGGUACAGUGGGUUGCCAGUCCGUGAGGGCGAGCUAAUCCCGCAAAGCCGGUCUCAGUUCGGAUCGGGGUCUGCAACUCGACCCCGUGAAGUCGGAGUCGCUAGUAAUCGCAGAUCAGCAACGCUGCGGUGAAUACGUUCCCGGGCCU
rnacentral:rRNA from 1 species